CAGAAUAACUAGGGGAGCUAAUAUUUUAGCUGAGAUUGGAAAGAGUGAUUUCCUGGACCCUUAUAACCUGAUUUGGUUAAUGCCAACGGAGGGAAGUAUAUUAAUUAAUGU
rnacentral:ncRNA from 2 species